UCUUCGGAUUCCUAUUGGAGGUAAUUGUUGACUCUUCGUUUUGGAGAGCAGGUCCGUCGGUUGAGUGCGUCUUUCCCUUCGGUGGUGUGUGGCGAUUUUCUCGGCUGUGUGGAGCGUAACGGAUAUAUCUCGGCGGUCGGCGCAUUGAUGGCAGAGGGUGGCGUGUCUCAGCUUCGACAGGAGAGGUCUGCUAGGGUGGCAGAUCGAGCAAAAUAGGUUAGGGAAGCACCUUCGAUGGCGUGCUCGUACCAACUACCUAAUGAUGAUGAUGAUUUUGUUGAAGGUCCGGCUAUUUUUUUCGAAAGGACGCGGUAGGACCCUCUAUGGGAUUCUCCGGAUACUGAUCUAAUCGUGGAGGAGCUGGUCCGACUGCUUUUCUAGAAAGUUUAUGGUUUUUGUGUAAUAUAUCUAAACCCCGUUCGUAAGUCAUGAUAGCAGUUUAAAGAGCAUUGAAAUGUUAUUAUUUAUUCAUGGCUAAAUGUAAUUGAAAUUCGAAA